UACAGAGGCCACGAGCGUUAGGCGGAAUCACUGGGCUUAAAGCGUGUGUAGGUGGAUGACUAAGUACCUUGUGAAAUCCCACGGCUCAACCGUGGAACUGCUUGGUAUACUGGUUGUCUUGAGGCACUCAGGGGCGAGCGGAACAGAUGGUGGAGCGGUGAAAUGCGUAGAUAUCAUCUAGAACACCAAUGGUGAAGGCAGCUCGCUGGGGGUGUACUGACGCUGAGGCACGAAAGCCAGGGGAGCGAACGGG
rnacentral:rRNA from 1 species